UACGUAUGGGGCGAGCGUUGUUCGGAGUUAUUGGGCGUAAAGGGCGUGUAGGCGGCUCGACAAGUCGGGUGUGAAAUCGCAGGGCUCAACCCUGCGGGUGCGCUGGAAACUGUCGGGCUAGAGUUCCGGGGGGGAAGCUGGAAUUCCUGGUGUAGGAGUGAAAUCUGUAGAGAUCAGGAAGAACACCGGUGGCGAAGGCGAGCUUCUAUUCGAGGACUGACGCUGAGGCGCGAAAGCGUGGGGAG
rnacentral:rRNA from 1 species